UACGUAGGGCGCAAGCGUUAUCCGGAAUUAUUGGGCGUAAAGAGCUCGUAGGCGGUUUGUCGCGUCUGCCGUGAAAAGUCCGGGGGCUCAACUCCGGAUCUGCGGUGGGUACGGGCAGACUAGAGUGUGGUAGGGGAGACUGGAAUUCCUGGUGUAGCGGUGGAAUGCGCAGAUAUCAGGAGGAACACCGAUGCGAAGGCAGGUCUCUGGGCCAUUACUGACACUGAGAAGCGAAAGCAUGGGGGAGCAACAGGA
rnacentral:rRNA from 1 species